ensembl:lncRNA novel transcript
GGAAGAAUCUGCACAGAAGGAUCCUACGUAUGGCUGCUCAUCCCAGGAUCCAAAGAGCAUUAAUAGCUGGAGGAAAGGCCAUGUGAGGACAAACUGGUUGUCUGCAAGCCAAGAAGAAAGCCUCCACCAGAAACCAAACCUUGUCAGACCUUGAUCUUGGACUUCCCCGCAUCUAGAACUGUAAGAAAUAAAUUUCAGUUAAGUCUAUGGUAUUUUGUUACGACAGCCCACAUUGACUAAUACACCAAACCAAGACAAAGCAAAAGAGUUGUUUGCUAUAUACAACUAGAAUUACUUCUCAUAUCCAAAAUCAGUUUCUGCCCUUUCUUAAUACUCCAAAUUAUAUCUUGUUGUCCUUCAAUUUAAUUUGAUUAACCCAACUCAUUUUUAACUGUAUUUUUUCAUUUACUGAUCCAUCCAUCCAUUCAUCAUUUUACUCCACCUACGAUCUCUCCUUUUAGAUACAGUAAAUUUUAAAAAAUACAAAUUUUACAUCAUCAGUUGUUUUAGUAAAUUCAUUUAUGUAUUAACAUCUGUCUACCUGAUCAAAUCAAAGAAGUUAAUUUCCACCUACUUUUCCUUUAGCCCACACUUACUUAAAAUCACUUAUUUUUAAUUUUAUGCAAAUAAUAUGGCAGAAAAUUGAGCAUGAGAAAGUAAAAUUCCAGAUAUAUUUGUUUUCUCUACCAUCAGCUGAAACAUUUUAUUCACGUUGUCUUUAAGUAAAUGCUACAGUAAUAUUUUUACAAAAAAGUAAAAUUAUUUUAAUAUCUCUACAUACUACUAGGAUAUGUUUUCUUAAAUAAUAAUUACAUCAUUUUAAAUUAGUACAGGUUUUUAAAAGAACAAAAGCUAUCCAAAUCACUAUAUAAAAUUAUCCCUAAAAUAUAUAAAGAAAAUAA